UCACUUUUUUUGGUGGUCUUUGUGUGUGCUCUUGCCCGAGAGGAGAGGGAGCGGAGGGCUAGGGUUGGCGGUCCGCGAGCUAGACCACGGCGCGGCCGGUAGGCCCGCGCCGCAGCUACCUAGACCGUCGCCCACGCCGCAGAACGAGGCCACCGCUGCCACAGGACGACUACGAUUCUCUGGUCCCGCACUCCCUCUAUCCUUCUUUACUCCUAUUCCCCGUGUUCCACUCCCUCCGCCAGCGGCCGCCGCCGCCGAGGCCACUGGCCGGCCUCCCGUCCCUCUCCUCGAGGACAACUCCGCCGCCCCGAACCACCUACGACCAAGGAGGCCUAGCUGGGGGAUGAGUCUAGACGUGCGGGGACUACUAACCUCCACACGAAAAGUGUACAAGCAACUCAACGAAUUACUGUAUUUUUUUACUUUAGACCUCAAUACGUUAACGUCGUUGUUCCUGCCUACCGGUAGAAGUGUCCAAUACGGGGAAUGACAUCAAACGUAAGUCAGUACACGUCAUUAUUAAUGUAUAAACAAUCGGACGAUCGACAAAGGUCUAAAAAAAUCUGUACUAACUGACGAAGAUGUGUUUUCCUCAAACAGCUUUUAUUCUCGUUAGGGUGACAACGAUGUCUCGGACUUCUAAGAAACGGAAAGAAACUUGACAAAGUCAAAAAAGAAAGUAUACCGAUGUUAAUAAACUAACCAGGUACAUCUAAAUCCGUUGUACUCUACUCGGCUACUAUAUAUAACAUUACAUACUACAGAUAACGAUGUUCACAACUACAGAACCACUACCGUCCAAAACGUUCAUUAACUUUACGAAAAACUCAUCUGCUAUUAAUCUAUUUCAAGAUGGACUAGAACUCCAUACACUUUCACUUGAGCCACUAAAGCUCAUUAAGAUUCUCAUAUGUAGAGUAGAUAGUCCAUAGGAAAAAACUCAUUACGAUUCUCCUAUGUAGAGUAGAUAGUCCUUAAUUAGGUAGAGCAAAAGAGACACAAAUGGAACAAGAUGUUUACCGAUUGAUCCAUUACUAAUAACUAUCGAUUACUGUACUCCCUCUCCCCCUGUUCGGGGAAAUCGAUGACGUUAUGCCAACACGUAUGUUUACACGAUGAGUAUAAGGUGACAAUCUGCUCGAUCGGCGCUCUUCGUCCAACAUUCCCCUCGGUCUCUCCACUCCCUCCACUGGUUUCGCCGUCGCCGGAACCCCACAGCUUCUUCUCACGCGCCCUCCUACCUUUCCCCGAGCAUAUGCUGCCGACCUUCUCACCAACACGUCUUCCUUCUACAACCAACUUACUCAGGGAACCUCGGAUCGCCACGACGAGUCGGGACAUGUACGGUAACGGGCGGAGACACUCAUUGACCCUAGGAGUGCGAUGGUUAAACCAGUAGGGACCCUUUGUAGUUCGUCCAGUACUCUGACGUAGAACUCUUCUUCGUAAUAAAUGUUGAGUCAUAAUACAGUACGUACCUUCUUCGUGAGCUGGAAUAAUGAUUGAUGAAGGAGACAUGUGUUUAUAUACUGCAGAAUCUGACUUGUAUGUUCGGAGAUUUUGCUGAAUAUAAAUACAUGUCUCUCUCAUUAUUGUACAUUUGUCCACACAACGCAAGGAUAAGACUAGCACCUAAAGUUCGUAUGACGAUUGUUUACAACCUCUCGCACCGUUCAAAGUAGAUUAAGUUAUGACUUAAAGACCGGAAGUGUAACGGUAGAAAUAGGGUAUAUUCAAAGGCUUCAAAUACUAGUCAUAUUGAUGUAAAUCAUCGACAACGUUCGCUUUGUGUCAACCCAUCUCGUUUAAUUAACAACAACUGGCUUUUAUCAUCCGCGGUUAAACAAAAACACGUCACCCACCCCUCUU
rnacentral:rRNA from 1 species